rnacentral:misc_RNA from 1 species
CAACCCUCAAGCUUCGGCUUGGUAUUGGGCUCUCGUCCGCCUAAGGACGUGCCUGAAACUCGUAGGCGGUUGUGCUCAGCUUCUAAGCGUAGUCAUUAUAUUUCGCUUCGGAGGACCUGGGUGCGACCCGCCUGAGAACCCCUCAUACUUCUUAAG